CGAACGCUGGCGGCAUGCCUCACACAUGCAAGUCGAACGAGACCUUCGGGUCUAGUGGCGCCCGGGUGCGUAACGCGUGGGAACCUGCCCUUAGGUUCGGAAUAACUCCCCGAAAGGGGUGCUAAUACCGGAUAAUGUCUUCGGACCAAAGAUUUAUCGCCUUUGGAUGGGCCCGCGUUGGAUUAGCUAGUUGGUAGGGUAAAAGCCUACCAAGGCGACGAUCCAUAGCUGGUCUGAGAGGAUGAUCAGCCACACUGGGACUGAGACACGGCCCAGACUCCUACGGGAGGCAGCAGUGGGGAAUAUUGGACAAUGGGCGAAAGCCUGAUCCGGCAAUGCCGCGUGAGUGAUGAAGGCCUUAGGGUUGUAAAGCUCUUUUACCCGGGAUGAUAAUGACAGUACCGGGAGAAUAAGCUCCGGCUAACUCCGUG
rnacentral:rRNA from 1 species